UAACCCGCACCACUUAUCGUGGUGGGAGACAGUGUCAGGCGGGCAGUUUGACUGGGGCGGUCGCCUCCUAAAAGGGAACGGAGGCGCUCAAAGGGUCCCUCAGAAUGGGUGGAAAUCAUUCAUAGAGUGUAAAGGCAUAAGGGAGCUUGACUGCGAGACCUACAAGUCGAGCAGGGUCGAAAGACGGACUUAGUGAUCCGGUG
rnacentral:rRNA from 1 species